AAUUACUUACCUGUGAAAAGUUAUUUUAUCUUGCUUAGAAUUGUGGUUCCUAGUUCUACCACACACACAUAGCAAAUAUGCAUAUUUAUAACAUAGAGUAAACUGUAAAGUUUACACUUUUACUAUUAAUGUUUUAAACACUACCACAAAAGUUCACGGAGAAACGCUGUUUGGUCACUUGCCGAAAAACGCAUGAGGGUGUUCAUCUUCCGUGUGCUAAAUGUUCCAUUGCCUUCAGUUACAAGUCCAACCUCAAAAAACACUUGAAAAAUGUUCAAGGAAUCGUACAACCCCAAUUCAGCAGGGAAAUAUACGGAUCACACCAGAUACAACAUAUAACUGUUCCGGAUAUUUCAGCAGGGCUGUCAUAUGUACGAGAUACCAUUGUAGACGAAUUUUUGAACCAUGUGGAUGACGAUAACUAUUACGUACAAGUUGCUGAUAUCGUCGAAGAUCUUGGAUUCUGUAAAAAGGAAGGAAUUCGUGGUGAAUUGACUCAGGUGAAUAUAAGAUAUGCAACGGCGAAUUUUGAAAAGACACCAGAUUAUGAUCCAACACAACCAAAAUCAUGGCAUAUUUAUCACAAUUGUAAGUAUAAUUUUAUAUUUAAUAUAAUAUAUUAUUUAAAUUACAGGUAACAACUCGUACGGAUUAGCAAUGUCACAUUUCAUGCCAUACGGGGGCUUUAAAUGGGUUGAACCCAAACUAGAGGGUCUAAUGAUUUGGACAAAAGAUCACCAAUCGGGUGGAUAUACGAGGUUAAUAUAUCAUAUCCAAAAGAACUUCAUGACAAGAAUAAUGACUUACCAUUCCUAUUGAAAAAUGGUAUUCCGCCUGGUUCAAAAGUUAAGAAACAUAUGGUAACACUUCUUUCAAAGAAAAAAUACGUUAUACAUUAUCGUAACCUGCAGCAAGCCAUUAAACACGGACUAGUAGUGGAAAAAGGUAACAUAUUUAUUUAAUUUAUAACAUAUUUUAUUUUAUUAUAAGUUCACAGAGUUAUCCAGUUUGAUCAGUCAGAACGUCUUAAGAAAUACAUAGAAUUAAACACUGAGAUAUGAAAAAAAGCUAGGAACCACUUUGAAAAGGACUUUUUUAAGCUUUUAAACAACGCUGUUUUCGGGAAGACCAUGGAAAGCCUUAAACGGAGAAUUAAAAUGGAACUGGUUUGUGGUGAAAAACGAUUACAGAAACGUAUAAACUGUUCAACAUUCAAACAUUGCAUUACAUAUGAUGAAACUCUCAAUUAGUAUCAUUGGCAAAUAAAAUCAUUGAUUUUUUUCAAGCCUAUUUAUAUAAUUUUAAACAGGUUUCGCAGUGUUGAAAAUGUCUUAAACCAUCAUGUACGAUUACCAUCAUAACGUUAUGCAAGCCCAUUAUGGAAAUAAAAUUGAUUUCAUGUAUUCCAAUACAUAUUCACUGGUGUACUUUAUCCAAACCAAUGAUUUUUACAAAGACCUAGAGAAUAAUUACAAUUUAAUCGUUCGAAAGGACACAUCAGAAUUACCACAAGACCAUCCGUGUUACAUUGUUGAAUGAAAGAAAAUACCAGGACUAUUUUUCGACAAAACUAGGGCAGAAAUUGUGACAGAAUUUUGUGCAGAGAUCAAUUUCAAGGAGAAGAUCAGGGUGAAAGGAAUCUAAAAGAAUGAAGUGAAAACCACAUGAACUUCAAUGAUCGUUAUCGUCAUCUUUUUGGAGAUGCAACCUUGGAUACGAAGACGGAAAAUGUCUCAAUUAAUUUAUUCAAACAUCAAUUUAAGACCAUUAAAUCAAACAAAUUAACUUAUAAUAGUUUAGAUGACAAGAGGGUUAUACUUGAGGAUAAAGUACAUACUCUGAAUCACGGUCACUACUUCACAGAGAAAGCCGAUGCACUAGAGCCAGCCGAAUUAAUACAACUUAUAGAACCCGAACUGAACAGAUAGUUUUUAUCCUAAAAUAGAUAUGGAAUUGUAAAAUAACUUUGUAGAUAUUUAAUUUUUGUAAAAUAUCUACUGGUAUAAUAUAUUUUUUUUAUUUUGUAAA